GAGCAGUGGGGAAUAUUGGACAAUGGGCGCAAGCCUGAUCCAGCCAUACCGCGUGGGUGAAGAAGGCCUUCGGGUCUGUAAAGCUCUUUUGUUGGGAAAGAAAUCCUGCCGGGUAAUACGUGGUUGGGAUGACGGUACCCAAAGAAUAAGCCCCGGCUAACUUCGUGCCAGCAGCCGCGGUAAUACGAAGGGUGCAAGCGUUACUCGGAAUUACUGGGCGUAAAGCGUGCGUAGGUGGUUUUUUAAGUCUGUUGUGAAAGCCCUGGGCUCAACCUGGGAACUGCAUUGGAAACUGGACGACUUGAGUGUGGUAGAGGGUAGCGGAAUUCCCGGUGUAGCAGUGAAAUGCGUAGAGAUCGGGAGGAACAUCCAUGGCGAAGGCAGCUACCUGGACCAACACUGACACUGAGGCACGAAAGCGUGGGGAGCAAACAGGAUUAGAUACCCUGGUAGUCCACGCCCUAAACGAUGCGAACUGGAUGUUGGGUGCAAUUUGGCACGCAGUGUCGCAGCUAACGCGUUAAGUUCGCCGCCUGGGGAGUACGGUCGCAAGAGUGAAACUCA
rnacentral:rRNA from 1 species